rnacentral:rRNA from 1 species
UAGGGAAUCUUCCACAAUGGACGCGAGUCUGAUGGAGCAACGCCGCGUGAGUGAAGAAGGUCUUCGGAUCGUAAAGCUCUGUUGUUGGUGAAGAAGGAUAGAGGCAGUAAACUGGUCUUUAUUUGACGGUAAUCAACCAGAAAGUCACGGCUAACUACGUGCCAGCAGCCGCGGUAAUACGUAGGUGGCAAGCGUUGUCCGGAUUUAUUGGGCGUAAAGCGAGCG